AACCAUUCUCACCUGCGGCUAGACCUGCGGAAGGAUCAUUACCGAGUUUACAACUCCCAAACCCCUGUGAACAUACCAAUUGUUGCCUCGGCGGAUCAGCCCGCUCCCGGUAAAACGGGGCGGCCCGCCAGAGGACUCCUAAACUCUGUUUCUAUAUGUAACUUCUGAGUAAAACCAUAAAUAAAUCAAAACUUUUAACAACGGAUCU
rnacentral:misc_RNA from 1 species